GUCGUAGUGGCGGAAUCGGUAUACGUGCACGUUUGAGGGGCGUGUGGAGAAAUCCUUGCGGGUUCAAGUCCCGCCUACGACACCA
rnacentral:tRNA from 1 species